rnacentral:rRNA from 1 species
UACGGGGGGGGCGAGCGUUGUUCGGAAUUAUUGGGCGUAAAGGGCGCGUAGGCGGUGUGGUAAGUCUGUUGUGAAACCUCCAGGCUCAACUUGGAGCUUGCAUCAGAAACUGCCGUGCUAGAGUGUGGGAGAGGAGAGUGGAAUUCCUUGGUGUAGCGGUGAAAUGCGUAGAUAUCAGGAGGAACACCGGUGGCGAAAGCGGCUCUCUGGGACGGUACU